GUCAAGGGGAGCACGGUGAAGUGAUCGGAAGACGAGAAGCGGCGAGAAAUAGCGCGGGACAACCUUCAUCAAAACAGAUGUCCAAUCAGGUGUGAGUGGAAGACGCUUUAACCCGCCUCUUUCUGGCCAAUCAGCUUAAAGAUGUUGUGUAUCUAUUUGAGCUCUGAAACUGAUUUGAAAUUGACCGACGCGAUCUGGAGGGUGAACUGGGGGAAGGAAAGCGGACACCGGAUCGUGCAGAAUGAAAGGCAAUGAAGCUGAUUCGUAGAUUACUUUGUGGUAUUCUUAUAAAUUCAAUCAACUGCUUCCAAGCAUGAGUUAUAUUUGAAGAGGAAUCAGGAGAACUAAGUGAAGUGCUGGAUGGUGUUCCCUAUCAGAAAUCAAUAAAAAUAUUGAAAAAGGAAGAAGGGACGUAGCAUUGGAAGAUGCAGAAUCAUUGUGGGUCAAGCGAAGAAACUGCAAAGGAAAACCCAACUCCAGUGGCAAUGGGAACAGAAAAGGCUGAAGUACUCAGCAGGUCAAGCAGCCAUCUGGGGAAAGAGAAGCUGAAUUAAAGAUUGUAUAUUCUUCGUCAAACUCUGUUUCUCUUCAUCAAUCUCUGUGCCAAUUAAGAGGUCCUGUCUUGUUGGCAAACAGAGCCUGGGGCUGAAAAGACAGAGGUACAACGGCAAAGAGAUGACCUACUGCACUGGUAGUUGGUAACUUCAGAGUGAAUCAUUCUCAUCAAUAAGCUACCAAAGUUCUACUUUACAGUUGCAUGAUGUCUUAUUUGUAUUAGUCUCACAUUUUGGAGAAAAAAGAACUAAGAAGACAAAAGCUGGACUGAGGAGUGUAGGUGUGAGUUGGUAUAAUGAGAAGCUCAAAACAAUGGAGAUAGUA